GACGAACGCUGGCGGCGUGCCUAAUACAUGCAAGUAGACCUGUGCUUCGAACGGGUGAGUAACGCGUAGGAACCUGCCUCAUAGCGGGGGAUAACUAUUGGAAACGAUAGCUAAUACCGCAUACUGUGAGAUGGACCUGCGUUGUAUUAGCUAGUUGGUGGGGUAAAGGCCUACCAAGGCGAAGAUCCGUAACUGGUCUGAGAGGAUGAUCAGUCAAACUGGAACUGAGACACGGUCCAGACUCCUACGGGAGGCAGCAGUGGGGAAUAUUGGACAAUGGGCGAAAGCCUGAUCCAGCCAUGCCGCGUGUGUGAAGAAGGUCUUCGGAUUGUAAAGCACUUUAAGUUGGGAGGCGUUACCAACAGAAUAAGCACCGGCUAACUUCGUGCCAGCAGCCGCGGUAAUAC
rnacentral:rRNA from 1 species